CAAGACAGGCUCAUCGAAAUUUUCAUAGUGUUGCAUAUUUUUGUUUAAAUUAUUUGUAUUAUUAACGUAUUUUGUGAGUUUCUCUGUCUAGGUAUCCUUCACAGCUUCACCAGAUUUUCACGGCCAACGUGUGACGACCAAGGCAGGACCACCUGUGACGAGGACGACCAGGGUCCAGUCAAAUCUUUUUCUAUCUUGACGGGACAAACUUGGUUGAAGAGAUGCCGAGGAAGGGCAAGAGAUCACAGGCACAAAAAGUGCGCUGGUCAAAGCUCGACCUGGCAGAUCCAGCCACAGUCAGCCCACCCGGUCUUGGC